AUUAGACCAAUAACUGAGUCUCCUCAAAAAAGGACCUCCUCUGUGCCGCACCCUGUGUCUCAUUAUAUAUACUCUGGACUUAGGAUUGAACAGGGCUUCUUCUCGACAUGAUCCAGUGAAGCUGGUGUCGUGUCCGGCAGAAACCCUGAGACUCUCUUUUAGUUGAUGUGCGAAGGCCUUUAGCCCAUAAAGAAGUAGAGGGUUGGGCAAGAAUCUUGCUGAGGGACUUCCGGUAGUGACAACUAAACACCAAACGGCACCCAAACAAGUUUUUUGCCCAACAACAUGUUGUCCAGACCAAUGAGAAGCCGUCGCAAAAGACAGAACAAGCUGCCCCAGCGGACACUGCUAUCGACAAUGUUUUGGUGGCUGUGGCUGAGGGGUAGAGUGGUCGUCAUCCAACCUGAAGGUCGGCACUUCGAUCCCCAGUCUGACAGUCCUUGGGCAAGAUGUUGAACCCUGAAUGGCCCCCCAUAGAAUAACAAAGUGCUGCAAAUAUAUGCACUGUAUGAAUGGGUGUGUGAAUGGGUUUAUGUAAAACUGUACUGUUAAGCGCCAUGAGUGGUCAUCAAGACUAGUAAAGUGCUAUAUAAAUACAAAACAAUUUAC